UACGGGGGGGGCAAGCGUUGUUCGGAAUUACUGGGCGUAAAGGGCUCGUAGGCGGCCAACUAAGUCAUACGUGAAAUCCCUCGGCUUAACCGGGGAACUGCGUCUGAUACUGGAUGGCUUGAGUUCGGGAGAGGGAUGCGGAAUUCCAGGUGUAGCGGUGAAAUGCGUAGAGUAUCUGGAGGAACACCGGUGGCGAAGGCGGCAUCCUGGACCGAUACUGACGCUGAGGAGCGAAAGCCAGGGGAGCAAACGGG
rnacentral:rRNA from 1 species